GGCCCUAUCGUCUAGUGGUUAGGACACUUGGUUCUCAUCCAAGAAACUGGAGUUCGAUUCUCCAUAGGGCUA
rnacentral:tRNA from 1 species